rnacentral:rRNA from 1 species
CCGUACCCAUCAGAGGGGGAUAACACUUGGAGACAGGUGCUAAUACCGCAUAACAGUUUAUGCCGCAUGGCAUAAGAGUGAAAGGCGCUUUCGGGUGUCGCUGAUGGAUGGACCCGCGGUGCAUUAGCUAGUUGGUGAGGUAACGGCUCACCAAGGCCACGAUGCAUAGCCGACCUGAGAGGGUGAUCGGCCACACUGGGACUGAGACACGGCCCAG